UUUUAUACGGCUUCUUUAUACUCUCCAAAACCAUGGAAUAAUUUAGUCGCUCUCAUUCCUCUGCAAACGGUCUCUCUGCAAACGCUCCAAAACCAGGAUUUGUUGUUGGGGUCGAAUUUUGGAUUUGUUGUUGGUGUUGAACUUUCAUCCAUAUCAGUAUAUUGUUUAGUACUUGGGAUUAAGAUUCUUCAUGAACACCAGCAGUAUUCGCUGGUCAGUUGGGUGUGGAUGUUGCUUCUACUUCUCGGGUUGGCAUGUUCACAUCCGAUUGCCAGUGAGAGGCCUCAAACACAGGCGGUUUGCCAGAUCAUAUCUGGAACCAUGCCGGCCCCUAGUGUACCUCCAUUCAAGCUUGGAGGAUUAUUGAACACAGUUGCUAGAGAGAGGGGGGAGAGAUUAAAGGACUUAUCUGUUUGCUGUUAACAUAUCCUAUUUCAAGGGGCUCUUAAGACAGACGAUUCUAGCUUUGAUAACAUUCAUGAUUUUCCAAGGGACCUCAGAUUUUUCCUUUUCUUUUUUGUCAACUGAGCAACCUGACCUGCAAUAAAGAUUCUUUAUUUCUGGGAUAUUUGUAGGGGCAAUGCAGAUGUCAAUCUCUUUCUUAAAUCGAAGUUCGAAUCCUCUUCCCGAAGAUUAGAAUGGCUUAGAAUAUAGAUCUUUACCAUAAGAAUAGCAUAUUCCUCUACAGUUGCUGAGAUUAUAAAACUGUUGUACACAUCGGGGAAAAACAAAGGGAAACAACAAUCAGUUUUGUUCAUAAUUUAAAUUAGUACUUGACUGAUUGUCUGUUUAGCUUUACGGUUUUUGGCUAUUCUGGAGUGCAGGCAUUGUUUCUAGUUUGAUUGUCUGUUUAGCACUUUCUUCUUCUCUUCAAAGAGGAGCUGCGGCACUCUUUCUCUGCUGCUCUCUGCUCUGAUAUCUCUCAAAAUGGGCUGCUCAAAACAAAUGGUGCUCUCCUUUCUUCUCUCUAAAAACACACAGUCACGCUACUCCUUUUGUUUUCCCCAAAGAAUGGUUCCAUACCCGAGAAAACCAAUUGCCUUUGCCUUUGAAAAAUGCCAAAAGUAAAGGCCCUUGCUUAUGGUUUUUAUCACGUACUAUUAAUUAUAUGCACAAUUGAUUAUAUGCAUAUUAUUGUGUAUGUAAUUAUAGGAAUGGAAAGUGAACAAAGCAGUCAACCAAAAGGAAGUAGAGGGGUUUGGAAACAACAUGAUGAAGAUGCAUUAUUGUCCAUACUUGAAGAGGCAACUUGCCUUGUUGGCUAUUUGGACAAACUUUUUCUUAUUGAAACCAACUUGCAGUUGUAUAUAUGUGAACUUGGAUAUGUGGUUGGAUUAAUCUAUAUAACGUAAUGGCUGUAAUUGUAUUUUGUGAACCUUCUUUUGUGUUAUUGGAAAAUAUUUUGAAUUUGAUGUAUGGAAUUUA